AGAGUUUGAUCCUGACUCAGGAUGAACGCUAGCUACAGGCUUAACACAUGCAAGUCGAGGGGCAGCAUGGUCUUAGCUUGCUAAGGCCGAUGGCGACCGGCGCACGGGUGAGUAACACGUAUCCAACCUGCCGUCUACUCUUGGACAGCCUUCUGAAAGGAAGAUUAAUACAAGAUGGCAUCAUGAGUCCGCAUGUUCACAUGAUUAAAGGUAUUCCGGUAGACGAUGGGGAUGCGUUCCAUUAGAUAGUAGGCGGGGUAACGGCCCACCUAGUCUUCGAUGGAUAGGGGUUCUGAGAGGAAGGUCCCCCACAUUGGAACUGAGACACGGUCCAAACUCCUACGGGAGGCAGCAGUGAGGAAUAUUGGUCAAUGGGCGAGAGCCUGAACCAGCCAAGUAGCGUGAAGGAUGACUGCCCUAUGGGUUGUAAACUUCUUUUAUAAAGGAAUAAAGUCGGGUAUGCAUACCCGUUUGCAUGUACUUUAUGAAUAAGGAUCGGCUAACUCCGUGCCAGCAGCCGCGGUAAUACGGAGGAUCCGAGCGUUAUCCGGAUUUAUUGGGUUUAAAGGGAGCGUAGAUGGGUUGUUAAGUCAGUUGUGAAAGUUUGCGGCUCAACCGUAAAAUUGCAAUUGAUACUGGCAGUCUUGAGUACAGUUGAGGUAGGCGGAAUUCGUGGUGUAGCGGUGAAAUGCUUAGAUAUCACGAAGAACUCCGAUUGCGAAGGCAGCUUACUAACCUGUAACUGACAUUGAUGCUCGAAAGUGUGGGUAUCAAACAGGAUUAGAUACCCUGGUAGUCCACACGGUAAACGAUGAAUACUCGCUGUAGGCGAUAUACAGUCUGCGGCCAAGCGAAAGCAUUAAGUAUUCCACCUGGGGAGUACGCCGGCAACGGUGAAACUCAAAGGAAUUGACGGGGGCCCGCACAAGCGGAGGAACAUGUGGUUUAAUUCGAUGAUACGCGAGGAACCUUACCCGGGCUUAAAUUGCAACCGAAUAUGGCGGAAACGCUAUAGCUAGCAAUAGCGGUUGUGAAGGUGCUGCAUGGUUGUCGUCAGCUCGUGCCGUGAGGUGUCGGCUUAAGUGCCAUAACGAGCGCAACCCUUGCCGAUAGUUACUAACAGGUUAUGCUGAGGACUCUGUCGGGACUGCCAUCGUAAGAUGUGAGGAAGGUGGGGAUGACGUCAAAUCAGCACGGCCCUUACGUCCGGGGCUACACACGUGUUACAAUGGGGGGUACAGAGGGCUGCUACCACGCAAGUGGAUGCCAAUCCUAAAAACCUCUCUCAGUUCGGAUUGAAGUCUGCAACCCGACUUCAUGAAGCUGGAUUCGCUAGUAAUCGCGCAUCAGCCACGGCGCGGUGAAUACGUUCCCGGGCCUUGCACUCACCGCCCGUCA
rnacentral:rRNA from 1 species